rnacentral:rRNA from 1 species
GACAGAGGGUGCAAACGUUGUUCGGAAUUACUGGGCGUAAAGGGCGCGUAGGCGGCUUUUCAAGUCGGGCGUGAAAUCUCCGGGCUUAACCCGGAAGGGUCGUUCGAUACUGUUGAGCUAGAGUGUGGAAGAGGCAACUAGAAUUCCGUGUGUAGCGGUGAAAUGCGUAGAUAUACGGAGGAAUACCUGAGGCGAAGGCGGGUUGCUGGGCCAACACUGACGCUGAGGCGCGAAAGCCAGGGGAGCAAACGGG